UUAAGUGAAAGCUCAGCUGGUAGAGCUCGUGGCUUUUAACCACGUGGUCGUGGGUUCGAUUCCCACCGACGGCGUUUAAU